CUUUAUCACAUAAUAGGAGUUUAAAAUAAGGUAUACACAGUGAUAAAAAAAUUAAAUAAUAUUUAUUAAUUCAAUAAUUUAUAUACAAUUAUAAUAAUAAGUUCAACCAUCAACAAGCUGACGAUUUAUUUUGGGAUAUAAUUUUCAUCAAAACCUACAAUAGCCAACAUACACAGCAAGGAUUUGAAUGGCUAGAGACCAAAAAAAUAUACAGUCAGACUAAGUAGCCUCACUGCGAAUAGUCAACACACC
rnacentral:lncRNA from 1 species